rnacentral:rRNA from 1 species
GUGCCAGCAGCCGCGGUAAUACGUAGGGUACAAGCAUUAAUCGGAAUUAUUGGGCGUAAAGGGCGCGUAGGCGGAAGCGUAAGUCAGAUGUGAAAUACCAAAGCUCAACUUUGGUGCUGCAUUUGAAACUGUGUUUCUUGAGGACUGACGGAGAAAGCGGAAUUCCAUGAGUAGCGGUGAAAUGCGUAGAUACAUGGAGGAACACCGGUGGCGAAAGCGGCUUUCUAGUUUUUACCUGACGCUGAGGCGCGAGAGCAAGGGGAGCAAACAGGAUUAGAUACCCGGGUAGUCC